rnacentral:tRNA from 1 species
GGUAGCUCAAUUGGCAGAGUACCGGUCUCCAAAACCGGUUGUUGCAGGUUCGAUUCCUGCCC